rnacentral:rRNA from 1 species
AACUUUCGGCAACGGAGCUCUUGGUUCUGGCAUCGAUGAAGAACGCAGCGAAAUGCGAUAAGUAAUGUGAAUUGCAGAAUUCAGUGAAUCAUCGAAUCUUUGAACGCACAUUGCGCCCCUUGGUAUUCCGAGGGGCAUGCCUGUUCGAGCGUCAUUU